GGAAGAUCUGGGGAAAGUGUUCCAGGCCAGGGGUCAUCACGUGCAAAGUCCCCAGGCAGGUCCAGUGUGUGUGCCGGAAGCUGGGACGUCCCGGUGGAGCCAGAGCCGGAAGUACUGGUUGGUCCUUUUCUGAUCCAAUGUUUGGGGAGGGGCUGGAGGGGCCUCACUCUUAGGACCAGGUCUUCAGACAGGAAACCACACACUGGAAGGCUGUUUCUAGACAGAAAAAGGAACUACCCUCCCUCUGAGGGUCUGCUGGUCCUUACAGUGGAGGCAGCUGAGAGCCGCGGGGCCCCUGGACAGAGCCAGCCAUGGGAAGGCAGUGGGCUCCUGCCGAGUGUAGGUGCUGAGUGGGAGAGAGGUCACUCAGCCCAUGCAGGGAUCAUCACAGCCCUGCGCAGUGCCAGAGGGGGAGGAUGGGCUAGGAUAGGGAGCCAAGGUGGUCAGGAAGGUCAGGAGGCCUGAGCCCUGAGGCCUGAUAGGAGCAGCACCCCCAGGUCAACUUUGAAAAGGGAGAGGCUCCAAAGUGAGACGCUCUGUCAUGUGGAGACUCCUUCAGCCACCUCAGAGGCCUGGGACUGGGGUCUGUUCCAGGCAUCCCUCCUUCUGGCCUCUGAGGACGUCACCCUGGGAGACCCCACAGGAUUAUAUCCUAGACCUUUGCCAUCUCCCCAGUCCUCUUGAGGAGGCUUCNUAAGUGAGGUGGAGCCAUUGGAGGGUUUAGAGUGGGGUCUGAUGUGGUCUCUGUUUUAACCACAUUCCCCUGGUGCCCCUGAGUCGAGGGCAAGAGCAGGGAAGCCAACGGUAGCCAUGCAGGUGGACGAGGCAGGGCCUGACCAGGGUCGGGGCAGUGGAGGAAUAAUAGCAGACUGGACUCCAGGUUGUCUAGAGGCAGAGUGGACAUAGGAUGUGGGGCUUGAGAAGAGAAGAGCCCAAAACGUGGCCUUCCAUGGCAUGGACAGCCCUGGCGGUAUUGAGCAGCCCUCUCCACUUCUUCCCAGCCCCUUCCCUCCCACCCAGGAAAUCCAGCAGCCCUUCAUUCCCUUUGCCUCCCGACAGCAUCUGUCAGCUGCCGUCUGCCUGUACAGAUUUUUCAGUUUUGGACAUUUGAUUAAAAUGGAAGUGCCCAGGGGGCUGGGGUUGUGGCUGAACAGUAGAGGCUCACCUAGCAUGGGCGAGGCCCUGAGUUCCAUCCUCAGCACCACCACAUAAAAAAUAAAUAAGUUAAUAAUUAAAGAUAUUUGUCUAACUACAAUUAAUAAAUUUAAAAAAAUAGGAAAAAAAAAAAAAAAAAAAAAGGAAUUGUCCAGGUAGGUGUGGUGGCACAGUAAUCCCAGCAGCUGGGGAGGCUGAGGAGGGAGGAUCGUGAGUUCAGAGCCAGCCUCAGCAAAAGCAAGGUGCUAAGCAACUCAGUGAGACCCUGUCUCUAAAUAAAAUAUUUUAAAAAACAGCUGGGGAUGAGGCUCAGUGGCUAAGCACCCCUGGUUUCCAUCUGGUACCAAAACCAACCAACUAACCAACAAAAAAACCCCCACAUAAAACAAAAAACAAGGGGCUGGGGUUGUGGCUCAGUGGUAGAGCACUUGCCUGGCACAUGUGAGGCCCUGGGUUCGAAUCUCAGCACCACAUAUAAGCAAAUAAAUAAGUGAAAAUCCCUGAAUAGCUAAUAAAAAUAUUUAAAACAAAACAAAACAAAACAAACCAUCUGUCCAUUCCUUCCAGGGAUUUCAGAGAUUUCCUAAGUAGCCCUCAGGACAGGCUCCACCUCUUCCUUGGAGGAGCCCGGGAAGCAGGAAGCAGGGAAGGCCACACCCGGAUACGCUGGCUGAGUCCCUGCUUACUGAGGGGCCGAGGCUCUGCUCUCCCUCCCACCAGGAAGGGCCCCCACCCCAGGGGCUGCACCCAGGGCAGAUGCUUCAGCCCAUGGGAGGGGAGUCUGUGGAGAUGGCAGGUGGGCGUCAGGCCUCACCUUCACUGUGGCCUCCUAGCAGUCCUAGAGGUGACCCUUGCAGGGAGGACCCACAGAGCCUUCCCCUCAGGGCCAGGCACAGAACAGGACACGCAGGCCCUGUUGGGGAGGAGUCUCGGGAGGGAGAGAUAACAAACCAGAACCCAGAGUCCCACAACCGUAAUUGAGAUAAGGCUGCGACGGGGACUUGGGGGGUGGGUUGUCGAAGGCUCUGGGGGAGGUGACAUGAGGUGGAAGAUCUGGGGAAAGUGUUCCAGGCCAGGGGUCAUCACGUGCAAAGUCCCCAGGCAGGUCCAGUGUGUGUGCCGGAAGCUGGGACGUCCCGGUGGAGCCAGAGCCGGAAGUACUGGUUGGUCCUUUUCUGAUCCAAUGUUUGGGGAGGGGCUGGAGGGGCCUCACUCUUAGGACCAGGUCUUCAGACAGGAAACCACACACUGGAAGGCUGUUUCUAGACAGAAAAAGGAACUACCCUCCCUCUGAGGGUCUGCUGGUCCUUACAGUGGAGGCAGCUGAGAGCCGCGGGGCCCCUGGACAGAGCCAGCCAUGGGAAGGCAGUGGGCUCCUGCCGAGUGUAGGUGCUGAGUGGGAGAGAGGUCACUCAGCCCAUGCAGGGAUCAUCACAGCCCUGCGCAGUGCCAGAGGGGGAGGAUGGGCUAGGAUAGGGAGCCAAGGUGGUCAGGAAGGUCAGGAGGCCUGAGCCCUGAGGCCUGAUAGGAGCAGCACCCCCAGGUCAACUUUGAAAAGGGAGAGGCCCCAAAGUGAGAAGCUCUGUCAUGUGGAGACUCCUUCAGCCACCUCAGAGGCCUGGGACUGGGGUCUGUUCCAGGCAUCCCUCCUUCUGGCCUCUGAGGAGGUCACCCUGGGAGACCCCACAGGAUUAUAUCCUAGACCUUUGCCAUCUCCCCAGUCCUCUUGAGGAGGCUUCUUAGAGAGUGAAAAAUGUUCCAGAAAGAGUUUAAAUGAAGGGUGGAGUGGACCAAGUGGGGACAGGGAUGAGGCAGGCAUUUCCUGACAACAGACCCUCCACCCUGUCACAUAGGGAGGGUCUCAAGGUUGCUGUAAAAUAGGGCCAGGCCAAAGAGGAACCUGUGGGGUGAGGACUCCUUAGGGUGGCCUUCCUGUGCAAGCAGAGGUCACCCACGCUGCCCUGGUCCCCUAAGAUGGCUUUGGUGGCAGCAGCUGAGCUGGCUGGUGUUGGGGGAAUCAGGCCUGAAAGCUAGGGGCCCGGCAGGGAGGCCGCCCCCUCCCAGCACGUGGGCCAGCAGGGAUGCAAAGGGAACCUUAGCUGUAGAAACACAGUGCUCAGCGUCCCAGAGUGGUGGGCUCUGCACACCUUCCUCUUUCUCUCUUCUUGGUUAUUUAAUCAUCUCUCUUUUUUUCAGUAUUGAGGAUGGGACUCAAGGUCUUUUUUUUUUUUUUCAGAGAGAGAUAAUUUUAAUAUUUAUUUUUUAGUUCUUGGCGGACACAACAUCUUUGUUUGUAUGUGGUGCUGAGGAUCGAACCCGGGCCAGGCAGCAGGCAUGCCAGGCGAGCGCGCUACUGCUUGAACCACAUCCACAGCCCCUCAAGGUCUUGUGCAUGUGAAUCAAGUGCUCUACCACUGAGCUGAACCCCACACUCUUUGUUUUUUAUUUUGAAACAGGGUCUCACUAAAUUGCCUAGGCUGGCCUCGAACUUGUGAUUCUCUUGCCUCAGCCUCCCCAAGAGGCCAGGAGUACAGGUGUGUGCCACUGCAUCCAGUUCAUCUCUAUUAUUAUUAUUUUUUUUUCAUUUAUUUUUUAGGUAGAUGGACAGAACACAAUGCCUUUAUUUUUAUGUGGCGCUGAGGAUCGAACCCAGGUCCCACCCAUGCUAGGCAAGCACUCUACCGCUGAGCCACAAUCCCAGUCCUUAUUAUUGUUUUUUUCAGCACCAGGGUCUGAAUCUAGGGCCUUAUACAUGCUGAGCAAGUGCUGUACUGCAGAGCUAUAUCCCAGCACUUUAAAAAAAAAAUUUAUUUUGAGACCGUUUCCUGCAAAAUUGCCCAGGAUAGAUUUAAACCUUCAAUCCUCCUGCCUCAGUCUAUCUACUGAGUAGCUGAGUGCCAUUGUGUACCACCAUGCCUGAGUCCUCUCAUUUCUUUUUUACUUUUUUUUGGCGGGGGGUGGGGGGGAGAUGGGGCUUGAACACAGAGGUGCUUAAACACUGAGCCAUUUUUUAUUCUGUAUUUUGAGACAGAUUCUCACUAAGUUGUUUAAAGCUUUGCUAAAUUGGUGAGACUGGCCCUAAAUUUGUGAUCCUCCUGCCUCAGCCUCCUGAGUCACUGGGACUACAUGUGAAUGCCACUGCACCUGGCUUGCUCAUUAUUUAUUUAUUUAUUUAUUUAUAUUUUUCAGAGACACAGGUUUAUUGAAGAAGGAGGUGCACAUUCAAGGGAGAAGGCAGGUUAUCUCCAGGGGCAGAGACAGUCUCUAUUCUUUAAACAGCUUUAUUGAGAUAUGAUUCACAAACCAUAUGAUUCAUUCACUCGUUGUACAAUUUAGUGGUUUCUAAUGCAUUCACAGACCUGUGCAAGCAACACCACAGUCGAUGUUAGAACAUGUCAUCAUCUCAGAGAGAUAUGCCAGGGGCUGGGUGCGGCUCAGUGGUAGAGAACAUGUGUAGCAGCAUGGGGCCCCUGGUUGCAUGCCAUGAGCAGUUGCUCCCACUCCCCUGCCCCUCUGCCCCUGGCUACACCACUCUACUUCCCAUCUCCACACAGUUGCCUAUUGCAGACAUUUCAUGUAAGUGGAAUCACGUACUGUGUGUUCUCCUGAGACUGGCUUCUUUCAUUUAACAUAAUGCUUUCAAACUUCAUCUGUGUUGAAGUGGGUGUUCAACUUCUUCCUAAAGAUGAAUUGUAUUCCAAUGCACCACAUUUGGUUUACUCAUCGGAUGAUGGGCAUUUAGUUUUUUCUACUUCAUAGCUAUUAUGAAUAAUUUCUAUGGACAUUUGCAUGUGAGUUUUCUUGUGGACAUAGGUUUUAUUUCUUUUUUUCCUUUUGCAGUACUGGAGGUGGAACCUGGAGAACCUGGCACAUGAGAGGCAAGCACUCCACCACCAAGCUGCACCUCAGCCCAGCUGUUUUUAGUUCUUUGGGUAUAUAUUUAGGAUUGGGAUUUCUGGGUCAACUGGUGGCUGUCUCUGUAACUUUUUGAGGAAUCACCAGAAGGCUUUUGCCUAGCAGCUGCUCCGUUUUGCAUUCCCACCAGCAGUGGGUUCCACUUUCUCCAACACUGGUUAUUGUCUUUCUUGUAAUGGCCACCCUCAUGGGCAGGAAGUGGUCUCUCAUUGUAGGUUUUUUGUUUUUCUCUUUCUGUUGUCUUGCAUAUGCCAGGAUCCUACUCCACCAUUGAGCUGUACCUCCCGCCCUUCAUUGGAGUUUUGAUUUACAUUUCCCUAGGUUGUGAGAGUUCUUCUAUAUUCAGAAGUCAUUUGGGGGAUUGAACUGAGGAGCACUUUACCACUGAGCUAUUUUUUUUUUUUCUUUUUUAGCAGUGUCAGGGAUUGAACCUAGGGCCUUGUGCAUGCAAGGCAAGCACUCUACCAGCUGAGCUCUAUACCCAGACCACCACUGAGCUUUAUUCCCAGCCUUUUUAAUUCUGAGGCAGGGUCUUGCUAAAUCGCUGAGUUUCUCACUAAAUUGCUGAAGUUGGCCUCGAGGUUGUGAUCUUUUUCCCACAGCCUCCCAAAUUGCUGGGAUUACAGGUGUGCAUCACCAUGUCCACCAAGAAAAGGUCUAAUAUCUAUGAAGUCCAGUUUAUCUAUUUUUUUAUUUUGCUUUGGGCAUUACUAUUAUUUAUUUUUGGUUGUACUGAGGAUAGAACCCUGAACCUGGUGUAACCAGGCAAGUACUCUACGAC
rnacentral:lncRNA from 1 species